AAAAAUCCUUCAUGGAUCUGUGGGAGAGGAACUUUCUAGGCCUUGGUCAUCGUUAUGUAACUUGAAAAUAUUUGCCCAGGAUGUAACGGAGAUCGAACCUUACACGGUGAUACAGGAUCCAUCAAUUGCAUAACGAGGUCAAAAGAAGUGGGCGGGGUUUCACUCAGCCAACAUUUGUUUACGAUAUCCAGUAGCUGGAAAAGAACAGAAGCCAUGCAUCAGAUUAAUUUUGAGCAACAUCUUGUUAACAAAUAACAAAACUUUCAAAGUAAAACAUUCUUAAC
rnacentral:sRNA from 1 species